rnacentral:rRNA from 1 species
UGUGAACUCGAAGAGUAGGGCGGGACACGUGGUAUCCUGUCUGAAUAUGGGGGGACCAUCCUCCAAGGCUAAAUACUCCUGACUGACCGAUAGUGAACCAGUACCGUGAGGGAAAGGCGAAAAGAACCCCGGCGAGGGGAGUGAAAAAGAACCUGAAACCGUGUACGUACAAGCAGUGGGAGCACCUUCGGGUGUGACUGCGUACCUUUUGUAUAAUGGGUCAGCGACUUAUAUUCUGUAGCAAGGUUAACCGUAUAGGGGAGCCGCAGGGAAACCGAGUCUUAACUGGGCGUUAAGUUGCAGGGUAUAGACCCGAAACCCGGUGAUCUAGCCAUGGGCAGGUUGAAGGUUGGGUAACACUAACUGGAGGACCGAACCGACUAAUGUUGAAAAAUUAGCGGAUGACUUGUGGCUGGGGGUGAAAGGCCAAUCAAACCGGGAGAUAGCUGGUUCUCCCCGAAAGCUAUUUAGGUAGCGCCUCGUGAACUCAUCUUCGGGGGUAGAGCACUGUUUCGGCUAGGGGGUCAUCCCGACUUACCAACCCGAUGCAAACUACGAAUACCGAAGAAUGUUAUCACGGGAGACACACGGCGGGUGCUAACGUCCGUCGUGAAGAGGGAAACAACCCAGACCGCCAGCUAAGGUCCCAAAGUCAUGGUUAAGUGGGAAACGAUGUGGGAAGGCACAGACAGCCAGGAUGUUGGCUUAGAAGCAGCCAUCAUUUAAAGAAAGCGUAAUAGCUCACUGGUCGAGUCGGCCUGCGCGGAAGAUGUAACGGGGCUAAACCAUGCACCGAAGCUGCGGCAGCGACACUAUGUGUUGUUGGGUAGGGGAGCGUUCUGUAAGCCUGCGAAGGUGUGCUGUGAGGCAUGCUGGAGGUAUCAGAAGUGCGAAUGCUGACAUAAGUAACGAUAAAGCGGGUGAAAAGCCCGCUCGCCGGAAGACCAAGGGUUCCUGUCCAACGUUAAUCGGGGCAGGGUGAGUCGACCCCUAAGGCGAGGCCGAAAGGCGUAGUCGAUGGGAAACAGGUUAAUAUUCCUGUACUUGGUGUUACUGCGAAGGGGGGACGGAGAAGGCUAUGUUAGCCGGGCGACGGUUGUCCCGGUUUAAGCAUGUAGGCUGAUUGUCCAGGCAAAUCCGGAUAAUCAAGGCUGAGGUGUGAUGACGAGGCACUACGGUGCUGAAGUAACAAAUGCCCUGCUUCCAGGAAAAGCCUCUAAGCAUCAGGUAACAUCAAAUCGUACCCCAAACCGACACAGGUGGUCAGGUAGAGAAUACCAAGGCGCUUGAGAGAACUCGGGUGAAGGAACUAGGCAAAAUGGUGCCGUAACUUCGGGAGAAGGCACGCUGGUGUGUAGGUGAAGUCCCUGCGGAUGGAGCUGAGACCAGUCGAAGAUACCAGCUGGCUGCAACUGUUUAUUAAAAACACAGCACUGUGCAAACACGAAAGUGGACGUAUACGGUGUGACGCCUGCCCGGUGCCGGAAGGUUAAUUGAUGGGGUUAUCCGUAAGGAGAAGCUCUUGAUCGAAGCCCCGGUAAACGGCGGCCGUAACUAUAACGGUCCUAAGGUAGCGAAAUUCCUUGUCGGGUAAGUUCCGACCUGCACGAAUGGCGUAAUGAUGGCCAGGCUGUCUCCACCCGAGACUCAGUGAAAUUGAACUCGCUGUGAAGAUGCAGUGUACCCGCGGCAAGACGGAAAGACCCCGUGAACCUUUACUAUAGCUUGACACUGAACAUUGAGCCUUGAUGUGUAGGAUAGGUGGGAGGCUUUGAAGCGUGGACGCCAGUCUGCGUGGAGCCAACCUUGAAAUACCACCCUUUAAUGUUUGAUGUUCUAACGUUGGCCCCUUACCGGGGUUGCGGACAGUGUCUGGUGGGUAGUUUGACUGGGGCGGUCUCCUCCCAAAGCGUAACGGAGGAGCACGAAGGUUAGCUAAUCCUGGUCGGACAUCAGGAGGUUAGUGCAAUGGCAUAAGCUAGCUUGACUGCGAGCGUGACGGCGCGAGCAGGUGCGAAAGCAGGUCAUAGUGAUCCGGUGGUUCUGAAUGGAAGGGCCAUCGCUCAACGGAUAAAAGGUACUCCGGGGAUAACAGGCUGAUACCGCCCAAGAGUUCAUAUCGACGGCGGUGUUUGGCACCUCGAUGUCGGCUCAUCACAUCCUGGGGCUGAAGUAGGUCCCAAGGGUAUGGCUGUUCGCCAUUUAAAGUGGUACGCGAGCUGGGUUUAGAACGUCGUGAGACAGUUCGGUCCCUAUCUGCCGUGGGCGCUGGAGAAUUGAGGGGGGCUGCUCCUAGUACGAGAGGACCGGAGUGGACGCAUCACUGGUGUUCGGGUUGUCAUGCCAAUGGCACUGCCCGGUAGCUAAAUGCGGAAGAGAUAAGUGCUGAAAGCAUCUAAGCACGAAACUUGCCCCGAGAUGAGUUCUCCCUGAGACUUUAAGUCUCCUGAAGGAACGUUGAAGACGACGACGUUGAUAGGCCGGGUGUGUAAGCGCAGCGAUGCGUUGAGCUAACCGGUACUAAUGAACCGUGAGGCUUAACCUU